ACAAGGGUGUGGCCGAUCACACGUACAUGAGGAUCGACGGAGAGCCUUGGAAGCAACCACUUCCUUUGGAUGACGACACUGUCGUCGUUGAGAUCUCCAACCAUGCUCAAGUCAGCAUGCUUGCCACCCACAACUGCAUAUCAAAAAGCAUGCAUGAUCCCUCGUCCACACCGACUGGGCCUCGUGAUGAGGAUUCGAGCAGCG
rnacentral:misc_RNA from 1 species